rnacentral:rRNA from 1 species
GCAAAGGGAUGCCUUAGUAGCGGCGAGUGAAGCGGCAAAAGCUCAAAUUUGAAAUCUGGCUCUUUCAGAGUCCGAGUUGUAAUUUGAAGAAGGUAUCUUUGGGUCUGGCUCUUGUCUAUGUUUCUUGGAACAGAACGUCACAGAGGGUGAGAAUCCCGUGCGAUGAGAUGAUCCAGGCCUAUGUAAAGUUCCUUCGAAGAGUCGAGUUGUUUGGGAAUGCAGCUCUAAGUGGGUGGUAAAUUCCAUCUAAAGCUAAAUAUUGGCGAGAGACCGAUAGCGAACAAGUACAGUGAUGGAAAGAUGAAAAGAACUUUGAAAAGAGAGUGAAAAAGUACGUGAAAUUGUUGAAAGGGAAGGGCUUGAGAUCAGACUUGGUAUUUUGUAUGUUACUUCUUCGGGGGUGGCCUCUACAGUUUAUCGGGCCAGCAUCAGUUUGGGCGGUAGGAGAAUUGCGUUGGAAUGUGGCACGACUUCGGUUGUGUGUUAUAGCCUUCGUCGAUACUGCCAGCCUAGACUGAGGACUGCGGUUUAUACCUAGGAUGUUGGCAUAAUGAUCUUAAGUCGCCCGUCUGAAAAAACGGAACAAAAAAA